rnacentral:ncRNA from 1 species
CGAUAAAGGCAAAUGCUUCCGAAAGGAGCAGGCGCAAAGCCACGGGCCUAAGGCGAUUGCUAUGGCAGCCGGGUUGCCGAA